CAAUAGCGUAUGUUAAAGUUGUUGCGGCUAAAAAGCUCGUAGUUGGAUUUCUGUUGAGGACAUCUGGUCCGCUCUACGAGCGUGUAUCUAGUUUGGCCUCGGCAUCCGCUCUGCAUACGUUUCUGCGCUUGAUUGCGUGGAGCGGAGGUAGGGCCUUUUACUUUGAGGAAAUUAGAGUGUUCACGGCAGGCAGUCGCCCUGAAUAUAUUAGCAUGGAAUAAUAACAUAGGAUCUUGGUUCUAUUUUGUUGGUUUCUAGGACUAAGAUAAUGAUUAAUAGGGACAAUUGGGGGCAUUCGUAUUGCGGUGUCAGAGGUGGAAUUCUUAGAUUGCGUUACGACGAACUACUGCGAAAGCAUUUGCCAAAGAUGUUUUCAUUGAUCAAGAACGAAAGUAUGGGGAUCGAAGAUGAUUAGAUACCA
rnacentral:rRNA from 1 species